rnacentral:ncRNA from 2 species
AGGGGGAAGCCGGUGCAAAUCCGGCACUGACCACGCAGCCGUGAACCGUCGUGGGAGACGGUGAGUCGGAAUGCCC